rnacentral:rRNA from 2 species
CUGCAAGUCGAGCGAAUGGAUUAAGAGCUUGCUCUUAUGAAGUUAGCGGCGGACGGGUGAGUAACACGUGGGUAACCUGCCCAUAAGACUGGGAUAACUCCGGGAAACCGGGGCUAAUACCGGAUAACAUUUUGAACCGCAUGGUUCGAAAUUGAAAGGCGGCUUCGGCUGUCACUUAUGGAUGGACCCGCGUCGCAUUAGCUAGUUGGUGAGGUAACGGCUCACCAAGGCAACGAUGCGUAGCCGACCUGAGAGGGUGAUCGGCCACACUGGGACUGAGACACGGCCCAGACUCCUACGGGAGGCAGCAGUAGGGAAUCUUCCGCAAUGGACGAAAGUCUGACGGAGCAACGCCGCGUGAGUGAUGAAGGCUUUCGGGUCGUAAAACUCUGUUGUUAGGGAAGAACAAGUGCUAGUUGAAUAAGCUGGCACCUUGACGGUACCUAACCAGAAAGCCACGGCUAACUACGUGCCAGCAGCCGCGGUAAUACGUAGGUGGCAAGCGUUAUCCGGAAUUAUUGGGCGUAAAGCGCGCGCAGGCGGCUUCUUAAGUCUGAUGUGAAAGCCCACGGCUCAACCGUGGAGGGUCAUUGGAAACUGGGAGACUUGAGUGCAGAAGAGGACAGUGGAAUUCCAUGUGUAGCGGUGAUAUGCGUACAGNNANUUNACGAACACCNNCGGCGAAGGCGACUUUUUGGUCUGUCACUGACUACGAGNUGNGAAAGCGUGGGGAGCACCCUCGAUUACACAUCCUGGUAUCCCUUCUCGU